rnacentral:rRNA from 1 species
CAGCCGCCGCGGUAAUACGUAGGGUGCAAGCGUUAAUCGGAAUUACUGGGCGUAAAGCGUGCGCAGGCGGUUAUAUAAGACAGAUGUGAAAUCCCCGGGCUCAACCUGGGAACUGCAUUUGUGACUGUAUAGCUAGAGUACGGCAGAGGGGGAUGGAAUUCCGCGUGUAGCAGUGAAAUGCGUAGAUAUGCGGAGGAACACCGAUGGCGAAGGCAAUCCCCUGGGCCUGCACUGACGCUCAUGCACGAAAGCGUGGGGAGCAAACAGGAUUAGAUACCCCGGUAGUCCCUGUCUCUUAUAA